GCUGUUUAGCAGAUCAGUCGAACAAAGAAAGUCGGUGCCCCACACAAUGGUGAAGGUCGUUGCGAUCUUUUGUCAAUCGCCAACACAUUUUUGUCGGUGAACUUUUGAUUUGUGACGUAGACAAUAACAAAACGCAACGUGAUCUUUGUGAACUGAAUUUUCAUUUCUCGUUAAGCCACGAGAAAACAUUUUUUUCCAGUGAAUUCAACUUUCGUGCCACUCCAAUGGCCGUCCUCUCUGCACGUGGGGAUCGGUCGCCAUGCCAACUAAUCCUCUUUCGCGAAACGGAGGGGAUUGUGCCAGGUCACGACGGGGUCAUUUUCCCCCUUCCAACAUCCCAGACCAUCAUCUAUAUACGGCGCAUAUGGAAAUUUGCCCAAGCGCUUCUUCCGGUUUCCGGUAUUGUCAGCUCCGGAACGCAUGCACGACCUUGUAUAUCUUGCACUGUUGAAAUAUGGCCAGAGGCGAUGAAGUAGAUCCUCCUGAUUUAUUAGAAGGUUAACCUUCAAUAAUUGAAAUGAAGCCAUUUAAAUAAAAGUCUAGGCCCUCCCCCCCCUUUUUUUCUAUAACUGGGAAGGAGAGCACUUGCAGAAUAGGACGUCAGAAAAUCGAUACAUUUUUAAUCAUU
rnacentral:misc_RNA from 1 species